GAUGAACGCUGGCGGCGUGCCUAAUACAUGCAAGUCGAGCGGACAGAUGAGGAGCUUGCUCCUCUGACGUUAGCGGCGGACGGGUGAGUAACACGUGGAUAACCUACCUAUAAGACUGGGAUAACUUCGGGAAACCGGAGCUAAUACCGGAUAAUAUAUUGAACCGCAUGGUUCAAUAGUGAAAGACGGUUUUGCUGUCACUUAUAGAUGGAUCCGCGCCGCAUUAGCUAGUUGGUAAGGUAACGGCUUACCAAGGCAACGAUGCGUAGCCGACCUGAGAGGGUGAUCGGCCACACUGGAACUGAGACACGGUCCAGACUCCUACGGGAGGCAGCAGUAGGGAAUCUUCCGCAAUGGGCGAAAGCCUGACGGAGCAACGCCGCGUGAGUGAUGAAGGUCUUCGGAUCGUAAAACUCUGUUAUUAGGGAAGAACAAAUGUGUAAGUGACUAUGCACGUCUUGACGGUACCUAAUCAGAAAGCCACGGCUAACUACGUG
rnacentral:rRNA from 1 species